rnacentral:rRNA from 1 species
UAUCUCUGUAGAGUCUGCAUAUCAAUAAGCGGAGGAAAAGAAACUAACAAGGAUUCCCUUAGUAACGGCGAGUGAAGCGGGAAGAGCUCAAAUUUGAAAUCUUCAAGGUUCUACCUUGACGAAUUGUAGUUUAAAGAAGUGUUUUCUGUUAGAUGAGUAGCAAAAGUUCCUUGGAAUAGGGACAUCAUAGAGGGUGAGAAUCCCGUAUUUGAUCAUUACUUCCUAGCUUUGUGAUACACUUUCAAAGAGUCGGAUUGUUUGGGAAUGCAGUCCAAAAUGGGUGGUAAAUUUCAUCUAAAGCUAAAUAUUGGCGAGAGACCGAUAGCGAACAAGUACCGUGAGGGAAAGAUGAAAAGAACUUUGAAAAGAGAGUUAAACAGUACGUGAAAUUGUCAAAAGGGAAGCGUUUGACACCAGUGUUGUUUUUCCGAAAAUCAAUUACGAAUGGCUUGAUUUGUGUUGUAUUGACCUUAUCAGCUUUCUUCACUUUUUUCGAGUCUUUCUUAAUGCACUUUUGGUUAACAAGUCAACAUCAAUUUCUUUUGUUGUAAAAGAGUAUUCGGAAGGUGGCUUUCUUUUCGGAGAAAGUGUUUAUAGCCCUAUACUUCUACAAUCGGAGAGAUUGAGGUCUGCAGCGUAGAUCCUUCGGGGUUAGAUACACUUGUGCUAAGUUGUAGCUUUUCAUAGACAACUUGUUGACUAUGUUUAGUCAUGCGGCUUACUCGCUUGUGCUAUUUUACCUACGCUUAGGAUGUUGACGAGACUGUCGAUCUC